AAACGAUAAAAUCCAAGAAAAAUAUAAAUUCAAGAAAAUAAAAUACAAAAAAAUAAAAAUCAGAUGAAGAAAAAUAAAAGAAAAUUUUAUAAAUUAUUUUGGGAUUUUUUGGAUAAGAAAUGAAUUUUCUAUGAAUUUUUAAAGAAAAUGAAAUUUAAAAUAAGAAAGAAAAACUAAAAAAAAACAAGAGGCGUUGGAUCUGACCUCAUUAAUUGACGUGGCAGAUCCAACAACCAUCAGGAUAGGGCGCACUGUGGAAAA
rnacentral:lncRNA from 1 species